rnacentral:lncRNA from 1 species
GGGGCGUUUGGCAUCACAUGAACAAUGUGGUCCAUGAUCUAAAAGGAAAAAAUAUAAAAUAAAAAAAUAAUCUGCUUAUCCCUAAUCAUUAUAGCAACCAUAGUUAUAAAAGUAUUUCCAUGAGCCUAAAAGACAAGUUUGAUAUUAAAAUGUCUAAAAAAUAUAAGAGGAGCGAGGUACGCUUGGGUAAAUUUAUGUGGGGCAUGCAUAGCAACAGUACUAAAAAAUAAAAAAUGCCAGUCAAGCAUACACCUCAAAAUAUCAAACCAUUAUGAAUUAUUUAAAGAGUCUCUAUUGUGAAUGAAAAUUUGUAGUUUUUAUAGUCUUAAAUCAUUGGCCUUCCACGAGGAAAAGAAUCAUUGCUUUUCGGCUCCAAGUGUGCAUAAACAAUUUAAGAA